rnacentral:misc_RNA from 1 species
UGAAGAUGCACUGGAUGCGCUUGAGGAAAAUAAAAUAGAGAGUAAACCAGCUGGGGCAGAUGCCUCAUCUCAUUCUGCAGAACUCAGCAAGGCAACCUCAGUUAGCCAAGAAGAAGCUCCAGCCGCUGCAGAUCCACUGGUUCAGAAUUCUAAUGAUGGUAAAGUACACGAAAAUGAGCAGAUUGUCAGGGAGAUUCCAAUUGAGGAGAUCAAUGGUACAGAAUCCGCUGCAGCAUGUGUUAACAAUUCUGUGCAGCAAGAAGCCACCGUAAUCAACCAAGCCACCUCAAGUUAACUUUUUUAUAUCUUAGUAGAAUACCGUAUCAUCUGGCCUUCAUUUCUUCUUG